GUUUGAGGCAAAAACAUCAAAUGCAUUAAAACAGUAUUGGUGUCCAGCAUGUCCCUUUAAACUUACACUAUCCCUAUCCCUAAAACAGCAUUAAGUCAUGCCUAACACUAACCUUACAUUCAACCUCAAACCUACCACUAAGGGAUACUCUCUGCUGAUAUAAACAAGAUAUCCCAACUGAAUAAUAAAACUAAAAGACUAAUCUGUGACCACCAGCUAGUGGCCAUUUACAGCAUAAACAGCGAGAUCUCCUUGUAGAGCUGUUGUCCAGCAUGCUUUCUCUGGCGAUGUGAUCAGUGCUGGGCAGCUGGCAAAGCCCAGGGCUGAUCACAAUCAACAGAGGACAUGCAGGGAGAACCUGUCGAUCUUUUCAGAGUCUCCCUUAGUCUGGCUGGCUACAGACACGGAAUCACAGCGGCUGAGCACGAUUACGCUCAGCCUCCAUGAUUUAAAGAGCUAUAUACAGUGCUCACUUUGAGUGCUGCAAACCUCUUAUCUGUCAGUCUGAGUCAGCUAAAUAAGGCCCCAGCUGACAGAAGGGAGCCCCAGGUAUAAAUUGAUACUUGGGGCUCCCUGGUGUGAGCACAGAUUUACAUUUUUAAGGCUACUUAAAAUCACUUAUCUUCGUAAAGAUACAUCAGUUACACCAUAAGGCCAUAUUGUAUUAAGCGCACUACUUUACAAUGGCGCAAUAUCGGUGGAUCCUACACUCAUUUUAAUAUGGAAGAUAAAUCUGCUAACUGCAAUACUUGCUGCUUAAACCAUCUACAGAAUCUCUACUGAAAUUUAUAGUUUCCUGUAGUCACCUCUAAAGGAGCACCUAUAGUGGAUGGGUGCUGUGUGCAAUCCAAUGGGAAUCUUGUCUGGAUUGCAAAUAUAAGAAAAAUAAUAUUGUGAAGUGGAGUGGUCUUUAACUGCAAUACACCCCUAUCCCACAUGCAGCACAGUUAUCAAGUU